UCACUUCAGUAAUUUCCUCGCUGUUCUUCUCGUCCUUUGCUGCUCAAGCUCGAUGCCUCCCCCCAAACUAGAUCUGCGACCCAAACCAGAUCUACUGCACUAAGCUCGCCACCGGUCCUCUUCCUUUAGCUCGAUGCUGCUGCUGCUCGUCGAAGACUUGCCAUCGUGUCGCCACCGUGUUCUGCUGAAGCUGGUCUCUGAUGCCAUUUCUGGCGUAAUUGAAGCUAGCAAUCUAAAGAUGGAGAUGUGAAAAAGCUGAUGUUAUGCUCCAGCUUGUCGGAUGAGAUAAGGGAAUUUGAAUUUAGUCCUAGCCUUCACAAAAAGGAUGUCUUUUGCAUCUUUGAGAAAAAAAUACAGGCUCAAAGUAAUAUGCCUAAUGUUAUAUAUUAUUUUGAAAAAAUUUAUCUCAACGGGACGUGAACAGAGAGAUAGAAUAUGAACGGAUACUUUGCAACUAAGUAAGAAUAGCGUUAGAUGUAUUUAUUUGUACCAUGUAAGUAUGAGAGUAUUGCAAAUGUUUUUAAUUUCUUAGGUUGUAAUCUACAUUAUAAUAUUAUGUAUAUUGUAGUAUUGCAAAUUAUUUAGUUGAACGUUUGUAUAUAGUGAAAUUGCUUGUGUAUUUA